GUAGGGGGGAGGUGUUUGCCUCUUGUUCCUGGAUGUGUAGUUUGGAGGUGUUGGCCUCUGGUUCCUGGGUGUGUAGUUUGGAGGAGUUGGCCUCUGGUUCCUGGGUGUGUAGGGGGGAGCUGUUGGCCUCGCCUGGUGCUCUGCCUACGGUCGAGAGGGCUGUCCUUACUGGUGGGUUCAGCCUCUGUGACCACGCGGUAGGUGGUCUAGGUGCUGGAGCUGGAGCUGCUGCCAGUGCUAGGGGUGGGGGAGAAGAAUAUUAUUAUAGAUUAAGCAAGCCAUUAAAUCCAGUCACCUUCCCUGAAUAUCAGAGCCUUUUGAUUAUGAUUAUGGUGGUUUAUUUUGACUACAAA